UACUGUAAUCAGUAUUUUAUUGUUCUCAUAUCUGUUACUUUAAGUGGCAUGUGUGUUUAUGUUUGUGGUACAGAGUGUAAAUAAGGACUCUCUCACCCUCCCUCUUUCUCUCUCUCUCUCGCUCUCUCUCACUCUCUCUUUCUCCCUCUGUCUCAUCUGUCGCUUUAAGGAAGCAUGAGGCAGGUUUAAUUUUUUAACGCUCCAGACCACAACAGCAGCCAGCGAGAAAGAGAGAGAGAGAGAACAGAAGGGGGGAGGGAAUAGAGGAAUGAGAGGGGUGUGUGUGAGGACAUGAAGAGAAGGAGGGAUUUUGAGUGAUCGGAAAAGAAGGAGGGUUCUGAGUGACAGAGAGGGAGGGCAGAAAAAAGGUAAGGGGAGGGUUUACAAAGAGAUGGAAAGAGAGAACGAGGGAGUAAAGCAAAGCAUGUUGCCAGUGUUGGCUCCGUAACUCACUGUGAGCGGGGACGGGAGGGAGAGCAAAAAAGAGAGACGGAGAGUCACACAUUCACACACUCUCUCAAUCACUCUCAUACACACAUAUACACACACACACACACACACACAUAAACUCUCACAUUCUCGCACAGAUUCAGAGGUGCCUUGCUGAAGAGACCUUGUUACGCACGCCUGCAGGGGUGAGAAUACUUUAAGCAGUGAAAACUGGGCUAAAACUGAAGACAGGAGCGCUGGGACAAACCCGACAGCUCCUGGGGACCUUCUUCAAACGGGACCUUAACAGCAUGUGAAGCCGGACAAACAGAUAUGUGCACCAUCCAUCCUUAGCAUUCCUUCGUUUCAUCCCUCCAUCCGUGCCUCCCUCCCACCUCUCCUCUCAAAUGGUGUGAAGGACACGGAGCUACGAGUUCCUCAGUGCUCUGCCUGGUUGCCUUACGGGAGUCUGGGGGAGGCUUGGUGCUCCCCUCCGCUCUCCUGCGCUCUCACUCGUUCAUGAAUGUCACCUCUAUCUGCGGAAGCCCUUGGAAUUUACAAACACUCUCUCGGGAGCUUGGGGAGAGGGAGCAAAGGGGAAUGUCAGAAGAGCUGAGAAGGGAGAGAACUUCCGAUUCCUUUCAUCCUUAUCCAUCUGAUCAUCCACAGACAUGAAUUCCAGGGUUGACGACACCAGUUCUUGACUUUUACUCAGUGUGUCUGUCUUUGUUUUUGGUGUUUUGCAGUCACAGUGUCAUGGAUGCGAUACUUCGGAAUCAGGUAAUGGAGUUUCUCUAAGAUUGUCUCAGGAUAUUGUUCCUUUUCUCAGUAGGAUCUGUAUUUUAGUUCGUUUUAUGCAUCCCUCGAUCUUCUCCGUUUUACGAGGAUCUCACUGAUAUGUGGAGUCGUACGGAUAAAGCGAUUGGACAAUUUAUGCCUUUUUUCUGAACUCGCAGAAUGAUUUCUGAUCCGGGUGAUUUCUGAAGAUCAAUCCCUCACUAAACCGUGGAAGGGAAGUGAGAGACCAGGGCUUCUGGGAGCUCAGAGCUUCAGGGAUAGAGUCGGAUAGAGGGUAUGGUGGUGCUGUGAUGGCUCACUUAUCUUCCAAAAUUCCAGUACGGCUCCAUGGAUCAUCAGCUGCCACUUUUCCAGUCCGUAUGCUGUGCAACGAGACCUGAAAUACAGCAAACAAUCCCAACAACGACAGCUGUUGUUCAUCAGAAUCACAACACCAGGAGUUCUGCAUUCCAGGGACUAUUUUAUAGCCAAAGAAACAAAUAAAGUUUAUUGUGAACUUCACAGCUGUUUUGCCCCACCCCCUUUACCCCUCUAAAACCAAGCCCCUUUUUGUUCCCUACCAAGUUGUGACGCAUUCUCCCCUUGGUUAUUGUGGGAGACCCCGCUGUUCUCCAAACAUCUGCUGUCUCCUGCUCCUGUCCUCCGUGGCCCUGGGUGAUCGGACAGGUGGGCGGCCCACUGACGCCCUCUGCGCCCUACGGGUGAGCGGGGCACAGCAAAAUGGCUGCCCUCGCCAGCUCGCUGAUCCGGCAGCGCAGGGAAGUCAAGGACCCCCAGGCCAACCGACAGAUCUCCACCAAACGCAAGCCUUGCCCCAAGAGCAACAAGUCGCUCUGCCAGAAGCAGAUCCUCAUCCUCAUCUCCAAAGUCCGGCUUUGUGGCAGUCGAGGAAGAAAACUAGAAAAAAGACCCGAGCCUCAGCUAAAAGGUAUCGUCACACGUCUGUAUUGUCGGCAUGGCUUCUACCUGCAAAUGUUACCCGAUGGCACCUUGGACGGCACAAAGGACGAAAACAGCUCCUUCUUGCUGUUCAACUUGAUUCCUGUGGGUCUGAGAAUAGUGGCCAUCCAGAGCACCAAGACAGGACUCUACAUAGGCAUGAACAGCGAGGGCUACCUCUACACAUCAGAACAUUUCACGCCGGAGUGCAAGUUUAAGGAGUGUGUGUUUGAGAACUAUUAUGUCACAUACUCCUCGAUCUUGUACCGUCAAACGCAGUCGGGUCGGGCCUGGUACAUUGGCAUUAACCGGGACGGCCAGGUCAUGAAAGGAAAUCGGGUCAAAAAGACUAAAGGAGCAGCCCACUUCCUGCCCAAGCUUAUAGAGGUUGCCAUGUACAGGGAACCAUCGCUACAUGACGUUGCUGAGCAAAGCCCGCCUAGGAAAACGGCCAAAACAUCAGACUCCCCCGUCCAUAAAAACGGCAAGAAAGACCAAGUGCUUCCCGCCCCCACAGCCUCCUAGCGGCAGUAGAGCAAACUCUUCGUUUGCACGGACACGCCAUGAACGCCAACAGUGGCACAGGAGGUUUGGUACAAACAAUGUUUGUAGUCCCUCCACCGACCCUCAGAACGUUGACAUUUCCAACAAUGAAUCAGGGCUCAAAAGACCCUUGCCGACAGGUCUAAUGCCCACCGCACUUCCUUUUGGUUUCUCCUGCUCCUUAAUCAAGGGAAUACCGAGCAAUAAUAACCGCACUGGUCUUGGGUCAGAAUGUGACGGCAUCGCUUUUGUGAGAACAGCAACUCCUAAAAGAAAGGAUCUUUGUCUUCCUCUCCUUUUUUAGUAUUUCAAGAAGAAACAUUUCCUCUUGUGAAGCAAUUCGUGCUUGACAUUUAAACCCUCCGUUUCCUUUGUUCAAGCAUUCAUAGAUUCCGCGAAAUCUGUUUUCUUUUUUUUUUUUAACAGAGAUCCCCCGUCAUCUCUAAGCCUUGUUUGUAAUCUCCUCUCCCUUCUCUACCUCUUCUGCACUUUGAUUAGCUUGAGACACAGAGGCCAUUUUCCACUUCACAACACAGGAAAAGCCCCGCACACUCUCCCGGGGACCAUUAAGGAUGCCACCACAUACACACACACCAAAUAACUAAAUAAAUAAAACUUCCCCUCCUCUUAGGAUGAGGAAGUUUAGAGUCAUUCGACCUUAGGCAGUGCAAACCUUUCUCUGCUCAUCGGCUCCUGCACUGAUGAGUCUGCGGAGGCUGUACGUGUGAGUGUGUGUGUGUGCAGUGAACAGUAAUACAAUAUCAUUUGUAUGAUGACUCAUAACAGAGGCAGUAGGGCGGCAUUAUUGUUUCUUUUUGUUAUGAUAAGUCGUUGUUUUUCUCAUUGCAAUAUGCCCAGAGAGCAGUAUCGGUACAGCUGCACUCUUUCUCCUCUCUUUUUAGCAUGUGUGUUGUUUUAGAGCAGGGUUUCUCAAAGUAGAUAUGCUGACUACUGAGGCUGCAAGUUUCCCAAAGUUCAUGUCCCUACAUUCAAUUUUAUUCUAUUACAUUUGCCUGAGAGCAAAGGCACUUCACCCAGCCAAAUGAAACAACACAAGUGCUGAAAAGGUCCAAUUUUGCUUCAUUUUCUUCUGAUAAAAUUGGGGAAUUGGACCCGGAGGAGCUCAAUGGGAAUCAUUUUGGGAACCCUUGCACAGAGAGUCCAAACAGACCUGUAACUUCUCACCUCCAGAGGUGUUGAGAAUAUUAGUAUGUAAAUGAAAAUUUUUUCUAAGUGCUAUGAGGAACCUGAUGACACGUCGCACUUCUGCCUUUGCAGUAAUAUUUCUGAUAAUGUUUUCAUGCAUAUCACCUACAUUAUGGAAAUAUGAUUUAAUAAUACACUACCGUUCAAAAGUUUAGGGUUGGUAAGAAUUUUUGUAAUGUUUUUGAAAGAUAUCUCUUACGCUCACCAAUGCAUUUAUUUGAUGAAAUAUACAGUGCUGCUUAAUAUUUUGCCGCUUAAUAUCAUGCUACAUUGUUUCAGAAGUCUUUGAAUAAUGGAAAAUUCUAAAGAAUAGUUUGUUUGUAUUUUUGUAAGAGUCAUUAUUUCACUUUUGAUUAAUUUAAUGCAUCCUUGCUGUAUUUAAAAGUAUUAAUUUCUUUAAAUUUAAAUAUAUCUUACUGACCCUAAACUUUUAAAUGUUAGAGUAUAUAAUAUAUAUAAUAUCAUUUUGGAAGUAGAAAAUGUUCCCUAUUUAAAUACAUAAUUAUUAGGGUACCUUGUAGGGAGUAUUUUUGCUGGCUUUUGAUUUAGUCUAAUGUUUUUUUUUUUUUUGGUUCCAGUAUUAGUUUCAGCGAACAUUCCCUUGCUGGUUAUAUCUUCACUGUGAUAUCAAGUGCAAAGCUUAAACAAAGUGCAAAAAAAUCAAACUUUUCUCCUGCUGAGUUGAAUCAUUUCUCAUACCGUGCACCUGGUGUUGAGGAAAUUAUAUCUGUGAUAAUUAUAGAUUCAGUCCCCUGCAGCAAUGCAUUAUUAGGAGAAACAAAGUUAUUAAGACCAAAGUGGAAACAGCUAAAGAAAUUUUAGACUUUUGGAAUAUUUACUAAAUUCUUCCACAUUUGGAUAAGGAUGUCAAUCUUUCCCAGAUUACAGUUUCCUUACUGCAAAUCACAGCAGCACCUGCAGGUAAUUCACAAUCCCCCAUUACAGAAGUUGGUGUUUGCGGUUAACGUCCCGAGCAGAUUGUUUUUCAGAGGGGCUGAAUCAAAAUGCUCUGCAUCUCAUAGCCUCUGGGUACACAUCAAUAAGACUACAUCUUGAUUUUCUUCAUAAACUAUAAUUUGUUUUGCAAGCAGCAAUGCUCAUCUCAGACUCCAGCUUUUCUUAAGUCUUGCAUUGUCCACAUCAUUUAAGUUUGAGCUUCUAUAUUAUCUGAAGGGCUAUUUACGUAAAGUUUUGCAGGUCCAUAAUGCUGUAAUCACAGACAAGAAAAAGUUAACAGAGGCGCUAUAAGACAAAAGACUUCUGAAUUAGCAACUGGAUGCCACGCUGAAACAAAAUCCAGCAGGCCAGACCGCAAAGGUUAAAUAAAUGAUAAAGGCAAUGUCGUAUGAAGCCACAACUGUGCUUUGUUUAGCAUCCCAUGGUUUAUUCAUUCAGUUUAAUCACAAUUAGACCAUGAAAUUGAUAGUUACUUUAAAAUGUCUCACUUCUAGCCUUUAAAACUUCUAAAUGUCACAGAAGGACUUGUGCUAACUUACUGACUCAAUAAAAAGGCUCUUGUAUUUGUAAGGAAUUUUUAAUCCAAUAUAAAAGGAGAUAUUACCACUGCUCAUUACUUCAAAUAUGUCUAAUUGACACUUAACUUAUAAUUAUAAUAACAUUGUAAUGGUUUGCAAACAUAAUGUUAGAGAAAAGAAAAGAAAAUUGGUCUUUUUUUUUUUUUUUUGCUUUGAUAUAUUUGGCAUGCACAUAAAGGCCAGAUCGGGUGGUUUAACAAUUAUUUUAAUGAAACCACUCUCCGUGCACAGCUAAGUGCUUCUCUCCCAAUUUCACUGCUAUUUUUCAGCGAUAAACACGGAGGCCAGAAGAUGAAAGCUAAGGGCUAAUGCUUUUCAGAAGAGCCAAGCCAUUAAAACACUGUACGUGUGUAUACGUAGACAGAGAUGACCUUGUAAACUGCAGUUUUCGAAAUUUGCUAAACUGACAUUUUUGUGCAUUUUAUUUCUUAUUUUUAUGUUUCUUUUUUCUUUAAAUGUCCCGGUCAGUGUUUGUGUUGGCCAUCACGCAUGCAUAUGUCUCUCAUUGCAUUGCAUUGGUGAAUCUAUUUGUUUAUUGUAAUUUGCACAUUUACCAGUCUCUCGGUCUCUAGAGUCAUAUAGUCAGCUGAUGAGUAUUUGGGGCGCAAGGUCAUAAAAGAUGUUAAAUAAUGUUGUUAUGUUGAGUUAUGGGAUAGGGUUAGUCUGUGCAAUCAUAAUCAGCUUAUAACAGACAAUUAACAGACUGAUCUUUCUUUACACUGAUAUAUUGGCUGGCAACUUACAGUGUUUAUGUUACACAUAUUAUUUAUAAAAUGUAUUACUAAAGCAGUAAUAUUAACAAUGUGCAAUUAGAAAGCUUUCUGCAAAUGAUAGUAUGCACUGCUCAUCGGUAUUAGUGCUUAAUUAAAUAAUUUAAUGUAACAUCAACACUGUGAGCCCCCCACACACACACCCCCCACCUCCAAUAAAAGUGAGUCAUCCAUGUUCCAUCUUCGCUCCCUUUUAUUGACCCAUUGUCGAUAAGUGCUUUAAAAACAGAUGUUACUUUUCCCUCCGGUUUAUUUCAAAUUGAUUAAACAAUACAGACUUAUUGGUUUUGUUCAGACAAGCAGCAAAAAUAUGUUUUGUUCUGUUGUUUUGGUUGUUUUUGUUGUUGUUUAUUAGUUUUUGCCAUUUUUGAAUCAAAUUUUGUCUGAAUAGCAAAAACCUAAACAAACCUUAAAACCAUGUGGUUUGAACACACUAUAUGCAUAAAAUGCUGCUUAUGUUCUCUCACAUAAUGCCUCAUGAGUUGAGCGCUGUGGUGUAAUGUCACGAUAAACAUGAGCUGAGGCUAAAUUCCCAGUUUCCAUCUUCCUUCCACAAUGGCAGUGACUCGGUUGUUGUUAAUUCUCUUAGCAUCAUGCUGACACCUGUAUCAUCACUAUACCAACCAAUGUAAAUUCACUGGAUAGUCACCACACUGUCAUAUGCAUUGUAUUUGUAUGUGUGUGUGUCAAGUCUACAUUUUUUUAGAUAGUAUCUAAGCAUCUAAGUUUGCAUUGUUUGCUGUUAGUGGUGUGUUUUAAAAUCAGACUUUCUAGAAACAGUCUUACAGAAGAUUUUUUCCACCACUGAAAAAAAUAAAUAAGGUAAUUGCAACUUUUUAUCUGAAAAUUCUGAGUUUACAUUUCGAUUUCUCAGAAUUGCGAGAUAUAAACUUGCAAUUGCGAGUUUUAAUGUGAGAAUUGCAUGAUAUAAAGUCACAAUUGUGAGAAACAAGUAAAAAUUGCGAGAAAUAGUCAGAAUUGCGAGAAAAAAGUCAGAUUUAUAAUUAGAAUUAUAAUAUCCCGCAAUUCCGACUUCUAAUUCUGAAUUCCACAAUUGCAAGUUUGUAUCUCUCAGUUCUGACUCUAUAACUUGCAAUUGCAAAUAAAUAUCACGCAGUUCUGAGAAAAGUCAAAAUUGCAAGAUGUAACCUCGCAAUUGCAAGGAAAAAAGUCACAAUUAACCUUUUUUUAAAUUUUUUAUUCAAUGGUGGAAAUGGGCUUCCAUACGGUCUAUAAUGCAGACCAUUUUAAAAAUUGUGUAUUGGUUUGUUUUGUUUUCAGAGUGAAGUGGUUUGCCGUGGUUUGUGUCAUAUAUGCAUAUUUUAUGUUAUGAUAUGUUGCUAUCUGGGCUUUUAAAAGACAAUCAAACUUUAGCUCAUCAGUAUUAGCACCAGCAGUGCAAGUAAACAACACCAUUUUUCCAGACAUUAAAAGUACAUACAUACCUGUUUAGUGUAAUUUCCUGCUUGUAUUAGGUGGAUUCUGAAGGGUCAGUCACUGUAAAUUGAGAGCAGAAAUAUUUUCAAGAUCAGUGGUGUGAUUAUUUUACAUAAGAGAAUUGUUAAGCCACAGAAACCUUGUAUUUACUGAUCGUCAGUGUCUGUAAUUGCUUUCUCUGUGUGUGUGUGUGUGUGUGUGUGUGUGUGUGUUUGUGUGUGUGUGUGUGUGUGUUCAUGUGUGCGUGACUUUGAGGAGUAGCCCCAACCCAGUAUCUGCAAUGCAGCAGAAAAGACAAAAACUCAACCCUCCUCCCAUGUUUCGACCAAAGUCUCGUCCCCCAGGAUACAUCUCUUAGCCCUCACAACAGCACUGUGCAAAUGUACCACGCUUCCCCUCAGCUGAAUGUCAUUUCCUCUGUAUGUGUGUGUGACCACGAGAGAGAGAGAGAAACUCUGCUGCAUUUUAAAUGCACAGACUCACACCACAUCUGCAUUGCAUACACAGUAGUGUGGUAUUAGUCUCUCAGCAGAUGUGUGUUGAGAGGGUGACCUUUAAAAAUCUGAGUUCCUCAGCUCCAUCCCAGCUUUAGGAUAAUCACAGUGUUCUCCCAUGGUCCCUAGGAGGUAACCUUUAGUUUAGAGUUUAACCGCUGUUUAUGUGGCUGUAUAGAGAUGGUGUUUGUGGAGAAUAUGUCUCCCCUGGGUCAAUUUUAUGUGAAUUGAUCUGAAAUACAGUCACAAAUGCAGUUUUUGUUUUGUUUGUUUGUUUUUAAAUAAACAUAGCAUAUUGACUUAUUUUACUAUUUUAAAUUGAAUAUUAAAUAUUUGAAUAAAAUUAUAAUGAUAAAAAUGUCAUUUAUAAAAGUUAUUCUUUUGAAUGGCCAAAGUUUUUGAAUAGAAAUAAUGUGACAUGAACCAAUUUUAAUGAUUUUUACUGUAAAACUCAAUAGAACUCAAACUUUGGCUUCCCAAUCUCACAGAAUGAAGGCAUAAUUUUUUUAUUAGUCAUUAUUUUCAAUUGGAUAGUAAAUAUUUCCAUAAUAAUAAUAUUUUUUAUUGGUGAAUGGCCAAAGUUUAAAUAGAAGUGACUCCAGUCCCACCUUGUUCUGUCUCUUCAGAUAUGACACUUUUAUCAUAUGAAACAAACUAAUUUUCACUAACCAGUUUUACAGUAGAAUCACUCAAACUUUGGCUUCCCCAUCUCACAGGAUAUAAGACAUAAAACUUUUUUUUUUUUCUUUCUAAAAUUGAAUGGCUAACGUUUAAAUGGAAGUGAGUCUCUCUUUGUUCCAUCUCUUCAGAUGUUUGUGGUCAUAAUCACAUGACACUUUUAAACAACCAAUGUAACUGUUUUUACUAAAAUGUUUGUGGCUUCAGUUUUUGUGUCCCUCAAAAAAGGAUCAUAUGUCUGUUGUUGUUCAUUUAUUUGAUUUUUUUGGUAUAAAAUGGUGAAACAGUGUGGCAUUUAACUUUGUGGGGCAAACAGUCUCAGUUUAGCUUACUUUGAGAAGAUCAAAAACACAACUAGUGACCAAGAGCGAUAGGCCAGAACUCUUGGCCUGCGUCAUGAACACUGAUCCCUGCUCUACCAGACGACAGAGAUCAUGAUCUUUUAUCCUCAAUGGACACUGAUUGGAAUCUACUGCAGCAAAACUGACUGCUGGUUUGUCGCUGUCAACGUAACAUACAAAAUGUACACACUAAACUGUGUGCAUACUAAAACGCCCACCUCUUAUAUCAGUACAAGUGGACAAAUUGCUUAUGGACAAUGAGAGUCUGCUUUACAUCGGAGGAAUCCCAUAAUUUUUACAAAGCAAAGGUCUUCCAGUCAAAGCCACGAUGACACUAUUUUUAAUUUUUAUAGCUACAGUAACCAAUAACCACCAGGACAGUCUCAACAGAAUCGCUCAAACUUUGGCUUCACCAUGUCACAGGAUGAAAAGAUACAAAACUGGACAACUUGGACGGAAAUGGCACAUCUGUGGUGUUUUGCAACGUUGGAAGGAACAACCCAAUACAGUCAUGCAUGAACCAAUAUUUACUGGACACAUUAAAAAUUAAAAUGAAAAAAAAAAUGAUGAGGAGGAUGAUUCCUGUUUAGUAUUUAUUAACUCACUGUUACUCUUAAUAAUCUAUUCUGCAUACACUCUCAGCCCUGCAUUUGCAAUAGAAUCUAUAUCUAUUUCUAUAAGUCUAUGGGAGAC